CAUGAAUACUGAAUAAUUCAGAUGCAAUUAAUGAUUGCUCAGUUUUUGUUUUUUCUUCUUCAGUGUAGUUGUUACAGUCAAUACCUAUCUUGUUCAUACUAUUUCGUUGAAAGUUUACUUGAUGUUUUUCAAAAAAUUUGUGUUACACGAGAAACAGAAUUUGUGGACUGGACUAACGUGGAAAUGAUUACUAUAUAGCUGCCUCAAACUCCAUACCGUAUCAAAUUAUGGAAUGUACUUACAUAUGUUUCUUCAUUCAAAGAACCCUUACUUACUAUUAAUGGAUGGAAUAAUAGCAUUAAUGGUGCAGGAGAACUUUUUACAUCUGGAGGAAUUGGCAUAGUUAGCACCACUGUGAUUAACUCGAAUGGCUAAACUAAGGUCAUACCCGUGUUGAUUUGGUUACAUAGUGUACCUAGUACCUACUCGAAUAUUUUAAUUUCAAUGUGAGCAAAUUCGCGAAAACAACAUUUACUGUCAAUAUCACGCAUAGUUCAUACCCGAAUUUAACGCGGAAUAAAAAAUGAUGUACCUACUAUUUAAGCAGCUGUGAAAAGUAUCAGUUUGAAAAAAAUACUUGUAUGAAUAUGGUGAGUGAAUUUUGAAAAAAAAGACCCAUACCUCGCAACGACACAGGAAGGAAAAAGAACGAUAAAAAUAUGAACGACUGGAAUGUUUCAAACGACAAAUUUACAUAUGUUUCUUUACGAUAAAAAUUUGACUGUUUUGAUGGUUCGAAAAUUCUUCGAAAAUUGUUGCAACAUGCAGAAGUUUUUUAUAACAAACUUAUCGGGUUGGGAUUUCCAUGUCGAAAGAAUCGUGUUUUAUGUGCAUAAAAUAUGUAAGUAGGUGUGCCUUUGAAGUCCAAAAAUUUUAAAGAAGAAUAUGAGGAGCUGGAUAUCAAAACGCCGUAAGUCCAUUUUGCAAAAUUUUCAGAAAUGAGGAAAAACUGUGGGGGGGUCGGGGGGAGUCGAAGGGGGUCAAAUGUGGUAUCAGAGAAAAGGGGAAGUCGCCAUGACCUCAAAACAUGAAAGUGCUCAAAUUUUUGAGAACCGGGGGGAACGUGGGAAGGGGGAGAAAAAAAGUUAGAUACUGCGUUUUGAUCUGAAAAAAGACAGUUACUGCGUUUUGAUCUGAAACUUGCUACAAAAAUCACGCACAUUUUAAAUCAAAACGCAGUAAAUACACCGGCACUCUCUAUACUGAAAUAAAAACACAUGGGUAGAGAACCAUUUUAAUGAUUAUUAUCUAUUAAAUAGUAAAAAAAAUAUUCAAAAUUAAAGCGCCGUUUGCCAUAGUGACUGAGUCAUGACACUAGAUUUUGUUUUUUAUGUUCAGGCCAAGUGUGAUUAUGAUUGAACAAUACGUUGGAAAUUUUUUAAAAGUCUGUAGUUUCAUUACCAACAGUAACCACCUUCUGAAAUCAAUGUUUACCAACCUUAAAACACAAAAAACGCUAAAAAUAGUGUAGUUACUGCGUUUUGAAGCAAAAUUGCUGGUUUUUACUGCGUUUUGAAGUAAAUCUCAACUUUGAGUGGGAUUUUCGAGGUGAAGCAUGGCAGAUGGAUUUACGAUGAUGGCUGCAAUCGAUUCCCAGUUGAAUUUUACAUAGGAAAACACUCUUAUCUCAAUUUUCAUAAAAAUGGACAUACGGCGUUUUGAUAUCCAGCUCCUCAUAUAAGAAAUAAAAAAAUUACGAACUGAAUUGUACGUGUAAUCACCAUCGUGACAUAACACCCCUCCGGGACAGAUAAAAAUGAAUGAAAUUAAGUAGGUACCUAAUAAAAAACAACUUUGAAAAUAGGUACAUACUUAAAUCAAGAAUAAUUUAAACAAGAACUUUCCAGUUUUUUUUUCUGUGAUGAAUUGCAUUUUAUUCACGAAAAGUUGUGUUUCAAUUUCUUCCUGCUUAAAAAACGUAGAUUUGAAGGAUUUUGUAAAAUAUGCCAUAAAAAAUUCAAAAAAGUGUAUGCUUAAAAUAAUUAUGCCGAAAAGUGGACUAAAACGUCGAAAAUAGUUUGUGAAUGUAUACUUACCUACCUAUGUUUUUGGAGUGAAAUAUUUUAAAAAAUAUGCUUAGAUGAGUGUGACUCAUUUUGCUCAGAAUUGUUGAAUUCGUAAAGAUAGCCUAUUUUUGAUAGCAUGCCAUUAAUGUGUUGUAGUACGAGUUGGAAUUGGGACAACAUUUUAUACCAGGGAUUAGCGAUUUUUAGAAGCCAGAUUGUUAUGGAGAGAUAGGUGAAAGUGAAUAGUACCUAACAAAAUAUUGGAUUAGGAAAAGGAUGAGACUGCACUGGAGACUAUGGAAACGAUUUGCAGAAAAAGGAAAAAGAGAAGGAACCUCGUAACUUCACCACAUAUCUACUAUUUUUAAUUCAAAAUUCAUUAAAAUUCCAAAAAGUAAAAAAAAAUUCUAAUUUACAAAACGUAUUUGAAAAAUACGUGGAUUUUGAUAGAAUGAAAGACAAAAUUGAGACAGAGUCUCCAAAAAGUUAUAUAUAUUUAAUUCAAAAGGAAAAUCAAAAUCAAAAAUCACGAUAAAUUAGGUAUUUACUUAAAUUGAAAAAUAAUUCAAAAAUUGUUGAAUUUCAAAAAUACGAGAAGAAAAAUAGAAAAUUUGUAAAGCCAAGUUAGCUGGUACCUAGGUACUUCAAUAAAUUUAAAACGAGAUAUAAGUAAAUAUUCAUAAGAGAACAGUUAAAAAUAUAAGUCAUCGUGAAUUUUAUUCACACUAUACGCAGGUACCUAAUGAUUUUUAUGCUAAUGAAAUUUUUUUAGCUGUUAGCUUAACCAAUCAGAUACAUACAUUAAGAACAUAGAUCAUACCUUAUCAAAAUAUAAAUAAAUAAAUAUGCAGGUAAUACAUAAUAAGGACAAAGUUUAUAAAGCUUUUCUAGUCUUUAAUUUUAUCGUGAAUGCAAACCAAAUUGGCAAAAAAUAAUUAAUUUGAAUUUAUUCAAUACAAUUUUCAGAAAGGAAAUAAAAUCAUGAAUUACGCAUCAAAAAAAGGAAAAUCACGCAACAACAAAAAAAAAAAAAAGACGAAAUUAAUAUGUUUUUAUUAACGAUAAGAGACUUGAAAGGCUAAAAGCACGGACGACAAAAAAUGUGCAGAUAACCACAUUUUUUUCAAACGGCUAACUCAUAAUGCCUACCUAACAACAAUUUUAUACCUACUAAAUCACAUCUGUUUCCCCAACAGGAAAACACAUUAUAAGGACAGCUGAAUUUAUUUUUAAAAGUCAAUAGGUUUAGGUAUCUGCCAACAAAUGAAAGUAGAUGCGAGUGAAAUAACAAUUACCAUAAUGUUGAUUUUUCAUGAUAGGAAAUUGAACAAAAAAUUGAAAUUUUUCAUCAUAAGCAAUAAAUUAUAGACUUAAGUUGAAUUUUCCAUUUUUUUUUCCUGAAAGUAUACCUACCUAUGCAGAUAUCUCAAAAACAAGACUUUUUAAGAGAAAAUAGAUCAGCAGCUCGUUUACUAAGUAAGGGAGUGCUCGAAUUGAUUCCCAAUUUUUUAAAAAUAUGUGUGGGUAAUUAAAUUGAUUCCCACCUUUUUUUGAUGGAUAGUCGAAUUGAUUCCCCGUCCAAGUUUUUGACUAAAAAAACGAACAAUGUUUUGAAAAACGAAUUUUUAUGAAAGGCUACCUACGUAAUAGGUACCUGAUAUGUAUCCUAAAUUAAUGCAGUAGGUACUGUAUUACUGCCUCUUUUUUUUGUUCCCUGAUUAUGGUAGGCUGAUUCGUUUCUUUUAUCACUUCACCAAUUUUGUCGAAAUUAAUCCAAAAUUUGCUUUCAGAAUGAUGUGGCAUGCCAUUAUCUAGUGAUCCUUGUUAUCGUUAGUAUACUCGUACAAAAUGAUUUUCACCUCAGGGAGCGAUACGUCGCGUCGUAGCCAGUUGGCUCAUAAUUUACUUAAAUACAUAUUAUGUAGGUACUUCAAAAUUCUCAAUCAUUAAAUUAGGCAAUUACAUACCUAUUAGGUAAAUCUCUAUGUAACUAUUAUGAUACGCCCGAAUUACAUGAAUUUCCAGUGUAAAUAUGUAUUCUCGUAGGGUAUCUGAUCAAGCCUCGAAUUUAAAUUCGAGAAUUGAGAAGACAAAAAGUACCUUUACCUAUAACAUAGUCUACGUGGUAAUGUACGUUCAAUGAAGAUAUAAUUUACAAUUUUUUUUUCCUUCACAUAUUGACAUUAUUGAAAUACUUUACAGUCUGUCAUAAAGAGACAUUUUAAUAACGAAAAUUCGUAACUAGUAAUAUUUUACAUAUGUACUUACUCUGGUAUAGGCGCUUUGCAUCACCUCGUGCAAAUCAUGUGAUGGAACGGCUACAACAAUGCAUAGCCUAUAUGUAGGUAUAUAAAAACACACAUAAUUACAGAAAUUCAACAUAUAUAUUAUAGGUAACUGUAAACUAAUUAGAAAUAUGAUGAAAAUGAAAAUUCAUGUUGAAAACAUAACAUAAUAUCUAAGCAAAAUACGUAGGUAGAUGCAUGACUGCUAUUCAUAUGUAUAGACACCGAUAUUCAUGUGUAUUGUGUACGUACCUACUUCAAAGUCUGUAACAUAAGUGCUUCGGUGCUUCAUAGUUCACAGUUACCUACAUUUAUCAUGCGAAGCAAAUCGUAUGAAGCAAUAACUCACGAUUUUUAUAGUACAUAAUGUACUUACUUAAGUAUAGUUACCUAGGUCUACAGACAUUCAUUGAACUUUUCAUAACACUCACGUAUAUAUCAAAAAUUCACGUCAGUACCUAUGUUAAAUAUAGGUACCUAAUCAUAAUGGUAAACUGAUUAAACCGCUAACACAUUCCAUUUCACUGGACCAUCACGGCUAUCAAUUUUCAUGAAUUUCAGGACCUUCAACAAUCGAUUGAUUCUGUGAGAUAUGUUUGGUACCUAUAACGAUAGGUACCUACUUUUUCAUCUGUCUAAGUAGUAUCAGAUAUGAGUAAAGUUAUUAUUUCAAUAGUUUCCUGAAAUGCUUCUAGCAUGAAAUUGCUGAGUGCUGCUCACAGCCUCCCCUCAUUCAUUUCUAAUGAAACUACAUCGUACUUAAAAUAACAAAAUAAUAAUACUUACUUAAUAAUAAAAAAUUCUCUUUUUUAACAUACAGGUAUCUAUUUAAAUUAGGUGCAUCACAAAACUUGCUGUUGUGUUUGUUCCCAUUGGAUUUAGAACCUGUAAUAAAUCAUACGCAAACAUUUUAAUUAUUAUGUAAUAAUUGACGAAACGUGACGUAAAAUUUACGUUAACAUUUACACUUGAAAAAAAAAGUAUGUACUUAUAUCCAAGUCAUAGCAAAACACAUACUGUACCUUGGUCAAAGCACAAUAGCGUCAGAAAAACGCUUAAUGUUGUUGUCACUAUAGGUAAUAGGUAGAGGUACCCCCAAGAAAAACACACUCAAAAAUUGAAAAAAAAAUUAAAUGACAAAAAAUUAGCAUUAGUUAUAGUAGGUCUACCCAAUUAAACCCGAAACAAAUUGGUCAAAACUCCAGAUGUGCAUGAAAAAGUGUUAAAAAUAACUUAAGUAAAAUGAUCUCUAUGGGUAGGUACCUAGGUACCAAUAAUACAAAAAAAGAAAAAAAAGUCUAAAAUUGCUAUUAUGAAAAUAAAUUAUGCAUGUAAGUUAAGUAUAAAGUAAAAAAUUAUGAAAAUUAAAUGAAAAGCUGAAAAAACAGGUUUUUUUUACAUUAUUUACUCAACUUAUCCACGUAUUUUUAAAAAUGGGGAAAACAAAAAACCUUCAAAAUAAAAUUGAAAAAAGAGAAAAUAUAAAUAAAAAAUAAAUUGAACAAUAAAAAUUUCAUGAGAAUGUAUUACUUAUUUAUGAAUAAAUGGAAAAGUAAAUCGAAACACGACAAAAGAAAAAAAUAUUGAAAAAUAAAAACGAAAAGAAUUAAGUUGAGUAAAAGAAGAAAAAAUAACGAAAAGAAAAAAAUGAAUACCUAAUAAAACUGAAAAACAAAAUAUGAAUGAAAACGGUCUUUACAAACCAAAAAAAGAAAUUAAUACCUAACGAAAAUGAAAAAUCAUUCUCACGACUUGGAGUCUGAAAAUGAAAUUGAUCGUGAAAUCACUGAUUCUUGAAUCAAAAAACAAUGAAAUAAUGAAAAUGAAAAACAGAUGGAAAAAUUUUUGAUCCGAUUUAUUUAAAUUUAGUAGGUACUAUACCUUAUUUGAUAAAAAUUGAGAGAAUGAGAUUGCAACACAGAUUAGAUAAAUUUCAAAAUUAAAGGUAUGGCCUCACUAAGUGAGGGCGUGAACAGAAGUUGGGGCUGCGGAACAGCCAGGGGGGCCGAGCACCCUAGUAAACAUAUUGAAGAUUAAGUAUUAAAAACAAAAUAGGAAAAAAUAAAAUAAAAUGUAAGUAAGUACGAGCAUUAUAAAAACUGUUUGACUAUACAUCUUGGACGGAAUGCCGUUGUUAGGACAUUUUGAUUUACCGACACACAGAGUAGAUCUUUGAGGAGACAAAGUUGGUUGAGACAAAACAGGUUCGAGGGAAGUUGAUUGAGAAGGGAGGGAAUCAAACGAAUUUUAAGUCGAAUCAGGGUAAGAUGAAUGGGAAUAAGAAAUAUCCAAGAGUUAGAUUUCUCAAUGGAAUGCUGCUUUAGAUGAUCAGCAUGUACUCUACUACCAGAAGAAAGUACAUAUGAAAGAGGCAGCAUCCUUGAACAUACUAAUUACUGGGGGAGAUCAGGUUUGAUCUACUUACAGGACACCUGACAUUAACAGGAUUGUCAGGUUUAAACUGUCUUUCGCAAAAAUGUCUAUCAUUAGUGAACCUUACACAAAACUGAUUACCUGUGGGUACCUAGACCUACUUGAUAUUUGAUCACUCAAAAAGGGUUUCAACUAAUUGAAAAUUGUAUUAAUGUGAAAAUCUAAGAAAGUUGUGUUACAUAUAUGUUGGGUUACCCUAUAUGUACACAAAUAAUAAUUCUUGAAGAUAAUCAUUCAUCACGAUUAGGAUUAGGAAUACUGUGUGAGAUUUCAUGUAUGUACCUAGUUUUAAAUGAAUGAAUAAUAUACCUAGCAUGUUCAUACCGUUUGACGUGCUAUGGUGGAAAAUGAAAAAACCUGAUUUGAUUUCUUUUUAAGAUUGUAUCGAUGGUACGCGUAUUACAUAUUAAGCUAGGCAGCAGAGUAGUUAUUCUUCAGUCAAUUUGUUUUUUUUUUAAAUAUUUUUUAUGAUGAAUUAUAAAUGCUAUAAACACUCUACUAACAACUUCAAAAUUAUAACAGUAAAGUUGUGUAUAAGAACAUAUAAUACGUAUAUACACUGUAUAGUACAAUCAUUUAAAAAAAAAUUAAAAUACUUAUAGGUACCUAACUACCUACAUAAAAUUAUUAAUCGAUUUUCAUUUAAAUUGAAUUAAAAAUAAUAUAAUACAAUUUUAAUUGAUUUUUUUUUUAAAUUAUAGAAAUUAAAUUAAAAAGAAAUAUUUCCUAAUAUUUCUACCUACCUGUUUUUUUUAAAAAAAGAAUUGAAAAAAGAAAAGAUAGGUAUAAUAAGUUCACGUACACGUGGCUAGAAUCAUGUCUACUCUAAGUACUAAUAUUAUGUAUUUUGGACAGUAGGCGAAUUGAUUCCCAAAUUAUUUUUUAGGAAUUUUCAGUAGUUGAAUUAACUCUCACAUCGUACUUUUGCCUGCGUAAGAAUUGAUUCCAUUUCAUUGUGUGCUUAAAUAUAUACAUAUGAUUGGUACCUGUAGAAUUGAUUCCAUCUUACAGGCAGUAGGUACUUGUAUUCUUCAUUUUUUUUCCCUAUUGAGUGCUCUGUAUGAGCAUAAACGAGAUGGGAAUCAAUACGUACAUUUGUAAAAACGAAGAGGGAAUCAAUGCGACCAUUUUUUGUGUUUUGAGAAUCAACUCACCAACGUUCUCUUGUAUUUUGCGUUGAAUCAAAAUUUUUCAUUCUAAAAGUAAAAACCGCAAAAGCAUGAUUUUUUACCCAAUGAAAACACGUUUUUCGUCAUUCUAUUGGCAAGGAGCAGUGUGGAGGAAACAUUUUUGGAUCCAACAUUUUUUUUAGAGGUACCCAACAAUGUUUGAUUGAAAUUUCAAAAAUACGAGGACAGGAGCAUUUUCACCAUUUUUACCCAGGGAUACCCUUUAUUAUUGUCGCGUCUAAAAACGCAUGUUUAUCCACUUACGUACGUGCACAUACCUAUGAAGUCAUUAAAGAAAGUACCUAUGUACUUAUGAGAUUAUUAAAAUGUGGUUACUGCAAUUCAGAAGAAAACAACCAAACUAGGAAGUAUGUCCGGUAAGGUUCAAAGUUGUGAUCACAAGCCAUAAACAAUUGUAGGUAGGUAUUGAAAUCAAAAUUAACAGUGUCACUCUCAAAGAUGGAUAAUAGUAAAUUCUUCAAUCAGAAGAUGCAUUCAAUAACUCUUGCGUUUCUCAACGUACUACAUUUGUCGUUGAAAUUCUUCAGUGUAACUAUUAGGUUUAGGUUGGUUGUAAAUGUUACAUCCUUAAAUUAUAGGUAAGUACCUACUUGAACAUACUUGAGAUGGCAUUAGCGUAGUGAAAGGGAGAUGCUGUUUUCUCCACGCUAUUUUAAACCAAAACCUUACACAUGUGUCAUUGAUUUUCAUUAUGAUGUUGGAUUUAUUGUACAUCAUUCGUUUACUUAUCUAGGUAGUAAGUAUAGAUAGGUCUGGUAAACGGUGAAGGCAGUAACGAGGCCAAGUUUGUAAUUGAGUGCAUUAUUUACGAGUAAGAUGUACAUGAAAGUUCAUAACUUGUAGGUACCGACCUAUACCACCUCUACAAAUUUUUGAAAUAUAUUAAGCAAUAAUUCAUUAUACUUAAUAUGUACUUAUCGACCUAUCAGUUUACUAUCUACCAGUAUUAUAGAGCUGUUAUUUAUCGUUAUUAUUGUUGUUUGUUAAUAAAACCAUUAGAACCGAA